CACGCGGAGCCGGCGCUGACCCGGGAAGGGGUGGGGCAUCGGCAAGUGCCAGGGGAAACUCCGCCCCGUUGCUCUCCUAGCUGCGGGCUGCAGGAGGUGCAGAACGAAGAGCGUCGUUCGGGCUCCGCAAAGAGGCCAGAGUAACCGGCUGGGAUGGGGCAAUGGGCUCGUGCCGCAGGUGCUGGGUUGCUGCAGGCCAUUUUACUUUCCACAUAAAACCAAAGGAAAAUCAAGAUCAGCUGGCAGUUACAUUGGAUUAGAAACUUAUGAAAGAAGUGAGACCAGUAAAACAGGUUUUCCAGCCAUUCUUGACUGAGGAGACUUUAAUGAAUAGGAUGAGCCAAGAUCACAUGAAGAAGCAAUAUGCAAACUAUAUGGGGCUCCUAUUAUGGAAGCACUGCAAACUUAUUUAGCCAGCAUGAUUCUAAAGCCUUUAAGGGGAGGACUUUAAUUUUUUUUCUUUGUUUAAGGAUUGGCAAAGCAACCUAAUUAUUAAAUUGCAUGCAAACAACUUCCGUGUUCUUAUAUUUACUAAGAGUUAGCAUGAAUGAUUAUGCAAAACAAAUCUGUCAUUAGUUGCUCUCUAUUUGCAUUGUGCCUGUUAAUAUGCUGCUGUUCAGACUAUGGCAGGGUAUAAUAAGCAAUUCUACUUCUGAAUUAAAAAUUCUAUAUGUGAAACUACAAAGAAACCUCAUUUUGUUCUGCAUGGAUUUUUGAAAUCACACAUUGUCUCAAAAUAUCCUGGACCAAAUUUGAUGCUGAUAUUAAUGGGCAUUUCACCAAGUCAUGC